CUAAUACCGCAUGACAACUGAGGUUUAAAGGCGCAAGUCGCCUGAGGAGGAGCCUGCGUACGAUUAGCUAGUUGGUGGGGUAAAGGCCUACCAAGGCUGCGAUCGUUAGCUGGUCUGAGAGGAAGAUCAGCCACAUUGGGACUGAGACACGGACCAAACUCCUACGGGAGGCAGCAGUGGGGAAUAUUGGACAAUGGGCGCAAGCCUGAUCCAGCAACGCCGCGUGUGUGAAGAAGGUCUUCGGAUUGUAAAGCACUUUCGACGGGGACGAUGAUGACGGUACCCGUAGAAGAAGCCCCCGGCUAACUUCGUGCCAGCAGCCGCGGUAAUACGAAAGGGGGCUAGCGUAGCUCGGAAUGACUGGGCGUAAAGGGCGCGUUAAGCGGAUUUACAGUCAGAUGUGAAAUUCCCGGGCUUAACCUGGGGGCUGCAUUUGAUACGUAGGGUCUAGAGUGAGGAAGAGGCUCGUGGAAUUCCCAGUGUAGAGGUGAAAUUCGUAGAUAUUGGGAAGAACACCGGUGGCGAAGGCGGCGACCUGGUCCUUGACUGACGCUGAGGCGCGAAAGCGUGGGGAGCAAACA
rnacentral:rRNA from 1 species